UCCCAUUGGGUUUUGUGUUCCUAAGCUGCAUGGAUUGGGAACACCUGAUGCCAUUUCUUGGAGGAGCAGUGCAGGGGCACAUUUGUCACCCCGUUGGGGGUUAAUCCCAAUCAGCUGCUGGAAGGGCCAUUUGCUAAGUGAUAUUUCCAGCUGGUGGAGGAACAGGACAGCACCAGGCCAACCCAACGCACUGCCAGCAUCAGUUAUCGAUGGUGCUGAGCCAUUGCCAAGAGAAGCAUUUGUCCUCUCUCCUUCUCAGAGGAGACCUCCAGGGAAGCCACAGAACCACUGCCACAUCUGCAGCAGCCCUUGUGUUCUGGGGCUGGGGGACCAGUUGCCAAGCAUAUACUCCAUGCCUUUAUCUGGUUUUGGGAAACCAGCUUCCAUUGGGAAGCAGCAGCCAUCAGAUCAUCACCGUCGGCUCCUUGCAGGCCCCAGUAGGGGCUCAGGGCAAGGCUGUAAGAGCCGAGCAGCAGUGUGAUGGGUGAGAAGAGAGAGUCCUCAGAGCAAAUGUAUAAGAUGAAUGAGAUGCUCAACUCCACUACUUCAGUAUUUUUUAGCCUGGAGAAAGGAUGCUCACAUGGCACAGAGGCGCUCGCACACCUUUCCUUCUCCUUUCCCAACUCUUCAGCCCAUGGCUGACCUCAGCUGAUGCUGGCACAAAGCACCUGCACCCACAAAGAUGAGCCCAAUGCUCUGAGCAGCAGGAGCUGAAGCCAACUGUGCCAGGCCGUGCCCUGCAGCAUGGAGAGCUCCUGGCAAGAUGCUCCCCAGGCACAGCAUUAACUCAAAAAAGGCAGCAAAUAACGUCCUGUGCUCGUUUUGAUGUUGGCAAUCUGGCUGCCAUCCAGUUUAUCCAAAUAUUGCUAUUUUUGGCUUUGUUCGACUUUCUUUGCUGCUUGGAGGCACAUCCCAAGAUCCCGGUGCUUUUGAUCUGGAAAGUACUGAAUAAUUCCCUUUAAACAGCAAUAAAAGAGGAAUUUUUGACACUGCAGCCAUAGCAACGGCUGAUGUCAUAAAUGCAGGAGCGUGACUUCAUGCAGGACUGGAGAUCAGAAGGAACUUUUGCUCAUGAGCAAACAUCUCCUAUGGAAGAGCUGGGAAUAGAGAAACUGAGCAAAUGCUCACUGCUUUGUGCAAACAUCACAUAGCUCAGUGCUGCUGAGGAUGGAUGUCCCUUCCGGCAGCACCAGACCUGUUGUUACAGGUAGGGGCCUGCAAGAAGAUGCAACUUGGAGACGUGAUUUCGUGGAGAUGUCAUUUAACAGGAUGAACACUGCAGGGAAGUUUAGCAAUGCUGAGCCUGGACCUGGGUGGAAACAGAGGAUCAGUACUAACCCUGUGGCCAGCUGGCUGCAGCUGCAGCAGAAAUUGUCCUUUUAUGAAGGGGACAUUUGCACCGGGUUGCACACAGGCCAUAUGGGUGUGGAAGGCUGAUGGCUGCUGCAGUGGAAGACUCAGCUCCAUUUGCUCCUCACGCAUCCCAGGGACAGCUUGCAGGAUGGCUCUUUGCCGCUGCUCCUAAAAGGCAUCCUGGCCAAAAAUAAAAUGUACCGAGGCAUUUU